AAGCUUCGAGGAGGAAAACGUAAAUAUGUCUUGUGAAUCCGCGCUAGAACGAAUAUGGGGGGGGGGGAGAGACGCCAUGGCGUUGUUUACAUCCCGGGGCCCAGUAGCAGGUCCCAGCCUCUUCCUUCUCGGGUGAUUUCUAGAGUAAAUAAUUGAGAGAAGACUACAAGUGUGUCCCAUCCCUGAAUUGGGAGUUCCCUGCUUUGUGCUUUAAGUCAGGCCAACAGGUUGAGACUCAAGCUGUUUUGGUCACAAGUCAGGACUUGAGGAUGUUGACCAGAGUCCGCUAAUAUCCUUCAAUAUUUAGUGUUACAGACACCUGCUCCAAGUGAUACGCCAUGACAGAAGUGUUCCGGUUCGGCCUCGUGCCCAUCGCUUGUCGUGCCCGGAAUGAGGACCGCAGCCAAGUGGCAUUGAGUCUCAACAACAAUGAAGUGAAUAUAUAUGGCAGAGCUGCAUCAGAGUGGAAGCUUCAGGAAACACUCCAGGGUCAUGAUCUGCGUGUCACAGGCAUUGACUGGGCUCCCAGCACCAAUCGCAUUGUUACAUGUGGAGCACUUCGAGGAGGAAAACGUAAUUUUGUCUUGUGAAUCCGCGCUAGAACGAAUAUGCAUCCCAGCCGGGGGGGAGAGACGCCAUGGCGUUGUUUACAUCCCGGGGCCCAGUAGCAGGUCCCAGCCUCUUCCUUCUCGGGUGAUUUCUAGAGUAAAUAAUUGAGAGAAGACUACAAGUGUGUCCCAUCCCUGAAUUGGAAGUUCCCUGCUUUGUGCUUUGUUACACA